CCAUUUUGUUUUAUCAACAGACGGAGAUGGAUUACGAACUUGCAAGUCCUGGUGUGCUCUGUUCACUUUCAACCGAGGAACUCUUAACAAAAAUACAAGAGUGGGGCUUAGAUGUCACCGAAGCUGAAGCUCAGCGUUUCAGAGACAAUGAGGUUGAUGGUGACACAGUUGACUGCGGUCUUACUGAGACUAUGGUUGCAUACCUUUUCCAAGGAUCCUUCAAAAAGCAGGUUAAAUUCAACCAAUUUGUGUCAAGGAUGAAGGAAUCUUCAGUGACGCUGACUCUACAGACUGUCUCUCCAGAAGACUGGCAACCAUCUACUUAAUCAACUUCAAUAAGCAAUGAAAAUACUUUGAGACUGCCAGCCUCUUUUGAAA